UGUGGUUUAAUUCGAUGCAACGCGAAGAACUUACCUAGUUUGACAUCGACGACUCCGAAAGGAAGGUGCCUUCGGGAAUCCGAGACAGGUGCUGCAUGGCUGUCGUCAGCUCGUGCCGUGAGGUGUUGGGUAAGUCCCGCAACGAGCGCAACCCUAUUGCCAGUUGCUACCAGGUAAUGCUGGGCACUCUGGUGAGACUGCCCCGGUUAACGGGGAGGAAGGUGGGGACGACGUCAAGUCAUCAUGGCCCUUACGCCUAGGGCUACACACGUACUACAAUGGCGCAUACAAAGGGCAGCGAUACCGCGAGGUGGAGCCAAUCCCAAAAAGUGCGUCCCAGUCCGGAUUGCAGUCUGCAACUCGACUGCAUGAAGUUGGAAUCGCUAGUAAUUCGAGAUCAGCAUGCUCGGGUGAAUGCGUUCCCGGGCCUU
rnacentral:rRNA from 1 species